CAGUCGCCACGGUAAAACGUAGGGCGCAAGCGUUAUCCGGAAUUAUUGGGCGUAAAGAGCUCGUAGGCGGUUUGUCGCGUCUGCCGUGAAAGUCCGGGGCUCAACCCCGGAUCUGCGGUGGGUACGGGCAGACUAGAGUGAUGUAGGGGAGACUGGAAUUCCUGGUGUAGCGGUGAAAUGCGCAGAUAUCAGGAGGAACACCGAUGGCGAAGGCAGGUCUCUGGGCAUUAACUGACGCUGAGGAGCGAAAGCGUGGGGAGCAAACAGGAUUAGAUACCCCCGUAGUCCCUGUCUCUUAUAA
rnacentral:rRNA from 1 species